rnacentral:rRNA from 1 species
GACGAACGCUGGCGGCGUGCUUAACACAUGCAAGUCGUACGGUCAGGCCCUUUCGGGGGUACUCGAGUGUCGACCGGGUGAGUAACACGUGCGUAACCUGCCCCCACCUUUGGGAUAACGCUAGGUAACUGGUGCCAAUACUGGAUCUGUGCUCCUGCUGCAUGGUGGGGGUUGGAAAGCUCCGGCGGUUGUGGCUGGACUUGCGGCCUAUCAGCUUGUUGGUGGGGCAGUGGCCUACCAAGACGGCGACGGGUAGCCGGCCUGUGAGGGUGACCGGCCACACAGAGACUGAGAGACGGCACAGAUACCUACGGGAGGGAGCUGGGGGGAAGAUUGAACGAUGAGCGCAGGCCGGAUGCAGCAGGGCCUCGGGUGGGAUGACGGCCUUAGGGGUGUAGACCGCAUUCAGCAGGAACGAAGCAUUUUGUGACGGUACCUGCAGAAGAAGCACCGGCUAACUACGUG